GUAUUACGAUUGCCCCCGAGUUGUUUUAUUUUUAGAACACUACACAUAUCCGGAUGUUGCUAUUUUUAGAACCAGAAGGUAUUUCCCCGCUAUUCAUAGGUCAAUAAUGGAAUUUCUACAUCGUCGAUUAAUAGUUGGAAACUCGGUUUUGUCAUGAAUAUACGUUUAAAAUAAGUAAACACUAAAAGUGCACACUCACAGUUGAUUACGAUACAUCGAACAAUUUGAGUCAUUACAGUAAAACAUGGAUUAUAAGUGAAUUAUACGCGUAAGAGAAGAUUUUCUGUCGAAAAAACUAAUGUCAAAAAUCAGCAUGGGAUAUUCGUAUCAAAGGGCUAUUCAUGCAGGAAAAUGACUGAAUAUUACUAUUAUAUGAAGAAUUCCAGCCUGCAUGAAAUACUUUGUUGGAUCAUUGAGACAGAUUUGACAUCCAUGUCUAUCCACAUCUGAUAGAGAUGAUCACUAAACAUUCUAGAUGGGUAAAGACCUGUUAAAUCGGCAUUGACUCAGCAUUGAGUAAUUUUCAUCUGUGCAGACACUACAAGUACAAACGCAUGGGAACAAACCAAACUUCAAAUGUUGAAGAGUGAAGAAUUAUUGUGAAAAGUUCUAAAUGUUAGAAUACCAUUGACUAAAUAAAACAAAUAGACAUCGAUUACCAACAGAGACUGUUUACAUGUUAUAAUAUUAAAAAGACAUUAGUUGAGAACUUUCACUCUGACAUUUUUGGAGGGGCAUUACCGCCUACUUAGUGUUCUUGUUUCUUUACAUAUUUUAAUUUAAAAGUACAAUCAUUGUUUUUAAAUCUGAAUUCUGAGUUAGUAUCAUAAGUAAAAUUCAUUUAUUUGAAUGAUUACAUUUUAUGAAUAAGUCCAAUUGAGCUUUUUACAAGAAAAAGGUUGAUUUUUAAGCAUUUUAUUAGUUAUAAAAAUGUAUAGUUACAUGACAUUAUGUAUAUUUUCUUCAAAACUGAACGGUAAACUAUCAUAAAUUGUCUUUUGAAUUGUUCAUUAGACAUCAUAGAAAAUAUUUAAAUGAUUUCAGCAGGUUGUCUUAUUAUUAACUAUUUUUAUGAAUUUAUAAAACUGCUAUAUAUUUUCAAACAUCGAAAUACUGCUCUGUUUCGAAGACUCACAAGAUCAAUCAACAUGAUUUUUUUCCAUGUGUAUCAAUAAUAUGUUCGGUUGAACGUAAUUUUUCUGUUAACUGAAGUUUAUUUUACCAGAAACUGUUGUGUUUAUUUCAUAAUCUCUGAUAAUGUGAAAAAGAAAUCAAAUAAAGACAAAAUAUUUUUAAUUAACAGUAAAAAAUCUUCAAAAUUUGGAUAAAAGUCCCAUAGUGUACCAUGAUAAUAACU